AUAUAAGAAGUAAAUAAUUACAUUUAAUUUCGACUUAAAUAUUGAUUUAAAUUUAUAAAAAUCCUUAUAUU
rnacentral:tRNA from 1 species